GGUUCUACGGUGUAGUGUUUUAGCAUUCUGAGCUUUGAAUCCAGUGACUGGUUCGACUCCAGGUAGAACCU